rnacentral:rRNA from 1 species
CCUACGGGCGGCAGCAGUGGGGAAUAUUGCGCAAUGGGGGGAACCCUGACGCAGCCAUGCCGCGUGAAUGAAGAAGGCCUUCGGGUUGUAAAGUUCUUUCGGUAUUGAGGAAGGGAUGUGUGCUAAUAGUACACGUCAUUGACGUUAAAUACAGAAGAAGCACCGGCUAACUCCGUGCCAGCAGCCGCGGUAAUACGGAGGGUGCGAGCGUUAAUCGGAAUAACUGGGCGUAAAGGGCACGCAGGCGGUUAUUUAAGUGAGGUGUGAAAGCCCCGGGCUUAACCUGGGAAUUGCAUUUCAGACUGGGUAACUAGAGUACUUUAGGGAGGGGUAGAAUUCCACGUGUAGCGGUGAAAUGCGUAGAGAUGUGGAGGAAUACCGAAGGCGAAGGCAGCCCCUUGGGAAUGUACUGACGCUCAUGUGCGAAAGCGUGGGGAGCAAACAGGAUUAGAUACCCCAGUAGUC